AUUGAACGCUGGCGGCAGGCCUAACACAUGCAAGUCGAACGGAGGAGCGGACGGGGGAGGAAUGCCUAUGAAUCUGCCUGGUAGUGGGGGAUAAGGUCCGGAAACGGGAGCUAAUACCGCAUACUAUCAGAUGAGCCUAGGUCGGAAUAGAUAGUGGGUGGGGGAAAGGCUUACCAAGUCGACGAUCCGUAACUGGUCUGAGAGGAUGAGCAGUCACACUGGAACUGAGACACGGUCCAGACUCCUACGGGAGGCAGCAGUGGGGAAUAUUGCACAAUGGGCGCAAGCCUGAUGCAGCCAUGCCGCGUGUGUGAAGAAGGCCUUCGGGUUGUAAAGCACUUUCAGCGAGGAGGCGUUACUCGCAGAAGAAGCACCGGCUAACUCCGUGCCAGCAGCCGCGGUAAUUC
rnacentral:rRNA from 1 species